CAGAGGGUGCAAGCGUUAAUCGGAUUUACUGGGCGUAAAGCGUGAGUAGGUGGCUCGCUAAGUCGAUUGUGAAAGCCCUGGGCUCAACCUGGGAAUUGCAGUCGAUACUGGAGAGCUAGAGUUCGGUAGAGGGUGACGGAAUUCCCGGUGUAGCGGUGAAAUGCGUAGAUAUCGGGAGGAACAUCGAUGGCGAAGGCAAUCACCUGGGCCUGAACUGACACUGAGACACGAAAGCGUGGGUAGCAAACAGGAUUAGAUACCCUGGUAGUCCACGCCGUAAACGAUGGGAACCUGACGUCGGUUUGCUCCGCGAAUCGGUGUCGUAGCUAACGCGCUAAGUCCCCGCCUGGGGAGUACGGCCGCAAGGUUG
rnacentral:rRNA from 1 species